CUACGUGCCAGCAGCCGCGGUAAUACGUAGGGUGCGAGCGUUAAUCGGAAUUACUGGGCGUAAAGCGGGCGCAGACGGUUACUUAAGCAGGAUGUGAAAUCCCCGGGCUCAACCUGGGAACUGCGUUCUGAACUGGGUGACUAGAGUAUGUCAGAGGGGGGUAGAAUUCCACGUGUAGCAGUGAAAUGCGUAGAGAUGUGGAGGAAUACCGAUGGCGAAGGCAGCCCCCUGGGAUAAUACUGACGUUCAUGCUCGAAAGCGUGGGUAGCAAACAGGAUUAGAUACCCUGGUAGUCCACGCCCUAAACGAUGUCGAUUAGCUGUUGGGCAGCUUGACUGCUUAGUAGCGUAGCUAACGCGUGAAAUCGACCGCCUGGGGAGUACGGUCGCAAGAUUAAAACUCAAAGGAAUUGACGGGGACCCGCACAAGCGGUGGAUGAUGUGGAUUAAUUCGAUGCAACGCGAAGAACCUUACCUGGUCUUGACAU
rnacentral:rRNA from 1 species